rnacentral:rRNA from 1 species
AAGCGCUGGACACGGCGUCUAAUACUGGAUAUGUGACGUGACCGCAUGGUCUGCGUCUGGAAAGAAUUUCGGUUGGGGAUGGGCUCGCGGCCUAUCAGCUUGUUGGUGAGGUAAUGGCUCACCAAGGCGUCGACGGGUAGCCGGCCUGAGAGGGUGACCGGCCACACUGGGACUGAGACACGGCCCAGACUCCUACGGGAGGCAGCAGUGGGGAAUAUUGCACAAUGGGCGCAAGCCUGAUGCAGCAACGCCGCGUGAGGGACGACGGCCUUCGGGUUGUAAACCUCUUUUAGCAGGGAAGAAGCGAAAGUGACGGUACCUGCAGAAAAAGCGCCGGCUAACUACGUGCCAGCAGCCGCGGUAAUACGUAGGGCGCAAGCGUUAUCCGGAAUUAUUGGGCGUAAAGAGCUCGUAGGCGGUUUGUCGCGUCUGCUGUGAAAUCCGGAGGCUCAACCUCCGGCCUGCAGUGGGUACGGGCAGACUAGAGUGCGGUAGGGGAGAUUGGAAUUCCUGGUGUAGCGGUGGAAUGCGCAGAUAUCAGGAGGAACACCGAUGGCGAAGGCAGAUCUCUGGGCCGUAACUGACGCUGAGGAGCGAAAGGGUGGGGAGCAAACAGGCUUAGAUACCCUGGUAGUCCACCCCGUAAACGUUGGGAACUAGUUGUGGGGUCCAUUCCACGGAUUCCGUGACGCAGCUAACGCAUUAAGUUCCCCGCCUGGGGAGUACGGCCGCAAGGCUAAAACUCAAAGGAAUUGACGGGGACCCGCACAAGCGGCGGAGCAUGCGGAUUAAUUCGAUGCAACGCGAAGAACCUUACCAAGGCUUGACAUAUACGAGAACGGGCCAGAAAUGGUCAACUCUUUGGACACUCGUAAACAGGUGGUGCAUGGUUGUCGUCAGCUCGUGUCGUGAGAUGUUGGGUUAAGUCCCGCAACGAGCGCAACCCUCGUUCUAUGUUGCCAGCACGUAAUGGUGGGAACUCAUGGGAUACUGCCGGGGUCAACUCGGAGGAAGGUGGGGAUGACGUCAAAUCAUCAUGCCCCUUAUGUCUUGGGCUUCACGCAUGCUACAAUGGCCGGUACAAAGGGCUGCAAUACCGCGAGGUGGAGCGAAUCCCAAAAAGCCGGUCCCAGUUCGGAUUGAGGUCUGCAACUCGACCUCAUGAAGUCGGAGUCGCUAGUAAUCGCAGAUCAGCAGCGCUGCGGUGAAUACGUUCCCGGGUCUUGUACACACCGCCCGUCAAGUCAUGAAAGUCGGUAACACCUGAAGCCGGUGGCCUAACCCUUGUGGAGGGAGCCGU